UGGAAGGCUGGCCAGUAGGCUGGAGCAGACAAGAUGAGCAGAAAGUGGCCUCGUGUCUUGCUGGGACCUGAGCCCUUGAUGCUGUCCACACAGGUGACCCUCAGGAGUGCAGAGCAGGGCCAAGAAGAGUGGUGUGUCAAGAAGGUAGACAGCUUCCUGGCCCCGGAGUCACGCAGUUUGAGAUGCCUGGAUUCUGCCGCCUCCCUAUACAUCUCUUCCCUUGUCUGAGCCUUUGCUGGCUUCUUACAGCAGCUCUGUAGGAGGACAGCUGGCAGGAGUUCUGCUCUUGGCUGUGAGCUCCCUCCUGGGGACCUGCCCAGCUCACGGCCCUGGCUGGGCUCCCAGGGCAUAUCUGGGGCUGGGGGCUGAAGGUGGGGCCUGGAUGCCACCCUGAGCACUGGCAGCUGCUCUGAGGACAUUACAAGCAGCAGGGGAAGCACUGGACAGCAACCAUCAUUUCUUCUGGCAGUGGAGCCUCUGCUGUGACUGGUUCUGUGUCCAGCACCUGCUCUGGGCCACACCGUCAGGAAGAAGGAGUUGCAUGACUGUCCUAGCCUUGGAUUUGACUUUGGCCUCAUCCACCUAGAGGGAGUGAGAACUCCUUCCUCACAUGAGCCAGGUGGAACCCUGGGCCCUUCAGGAGUGAGUUAGUAGAGCUGGAUGUCGCUCAGGCUGGGUUGGGUCACCACCAGCUGUGGCCCUUCUCCCUUUUCUCUGCUCCUUCACCUUGUUCCCCAACUCUGACUGCCCACUGCCAGUCCUUUGUGCGUGGUUGGUGCUCCUUCCUCCAGACAGCCUCCUUCUCCUUCCUGCUGGGGAAACCCCAAGUGCUGUCUCUUGGAAACCAAAAAUAAAAUUCUAAUCUCCCCAGCCAUCUGAAUGGACCCCUCUUCUCAGCCAAGGCCAUUCCAAAAUUAAUCUGAAAAACUAGUUCAGGCCAUGAUAGAAAGUAGGGGUCAGGCAGGCCUCAUCAUCCCUCCUCCCUUCAGGUUUCAGGCACAGCUGAGCAGCAGUAACAUCGACACAGAGACCUGAAGACUGACAACAGACUCUGGCAGUAAGAUACAGCAGGCUCUGAAAGAAACUGAAGUAUUUUACUAUCAAACAGAUUUCUUUGACAUAUUUUGAAAUAGCUCUGCAAAGCUGUCUCUUAUGAGGAAAAUCUACAUUCUGUGAAGAAUCCCCUUCCCUUUCUAGCUCUUUUCUCCUGAGAUAAUUAACUAGAGUCUGAUAAGAAACAUUUAACAGUGUGUUUUUUCUGAAGCCUGAUACCUGGAGGCUUCAUCUGCCUAAGAACCUUGGUCUCUACAACCUCUUACCCCAGAGACAGUCCCUUCUAUUGAUUCCAGGUCUUUAGAUAAACUCUCUGAGCCAAUUGCCAAUCAGAAAAUCUUUGAAUCCACAUGACCCAGAAGCCCGCCUCCCACUUUCAAGUUGUCCCUCCUUUUCUGACUGAACCAAUGUAUACCUUACAUACACUGAUUGAUGUCUCGUGCCUCCCUAAAAUGUAUAAAACCAAGUUGCAGCCCUAUCCCUUUGGGCACUUGUUGUCAGGAUCUUCUGGGGCUGUCCUGGGCCAUUAGUCACAUAUUGGCUCAGAAGAAAUCUCUUCAAAAAAAAAAAAAGUUUAUCUAUAUUGCUGUCUACAAUGAAAAAUAUCCAAUGUUAUGUUUACUCUUUGUAAUUAAAUGCUAAAAAAUUUA
rnacentral:lncRNA from 1 species